GACAGAGGGGGCAAGCGUUGCUCGGAAUCACUGGGCGUAAAGGGCGCGUAGGCGGGAUGGCAAGUCAGUCGUGAAAUCUCUCGGCUCAACCGAGAAACGUCGGCUGAUACUGCCGUUCUUGAGGGAUGCAGAGGAGACUGGAAUUCCCGGUGUAGCGGUGAAAUGCGCAGAUAUCAGGAGGAACACCGGUGGCGAAGGCGGGUCUCUGGGCCGAUACUGACGCUGAGGAACGAAAGCGUGGGGAGCGAACAGG
rnacentral:rRNA from 1 species